rnacentral:misc_RNA from 1 species
AAGUCGUAACAAGGUAACCGUAGGUGAACCUGCGGUUGGAUCAUUAUUGAAUCUACCCACACCCAGUAAGGGAAGUAGCUCCGUAAGGAGAUGCUUUCCUACUGGGUUAGGGGAGAGUAGGUCUCUUCUUUUUCAUAGUCGAGGCCUCUCUCUCCGAUAACACCCCAAAAAACAAUGUGCUAUUGUUUUUAGUUUCCUACCUACUGGCCUUUACGGGUUCAAUAGGGAAAGAGACUAUGAGACACCAAUACCUUCUGAAAGCGAAAGUGCUUUUUUUUCAAAAAUUUCCUUAUUCCUUUUUUUGAGGGACUAAGAAAAUAAACAAAUUGAAAACAACUUUUGACAACGGAUCUCUUGGCUCUC